UACGUAGGGGGCUAGCGUUGUCCGGAAUCAUUGGGCGUAAAGAGCGCGUAGGCGGCCAGAUAAGUCCGGUGUGAAAGUCAAAGGCUACAACCGUUUGAAUGCCGCUGGAAACUGUCUGGCUAGAGUCCGGGAGGGGCGAGUGGAAUUCCCGGUGUAGCGGUGAAAUGCGCAGAUAUCGGGAGGAACACCCGUGGCGAAGGCGGCGCUCUGGGACGGUACUGACGCUGAGACGCGAAAGCGUGGGGAGCGAACAGGAUAGAA
rnacentral:rRNA from 1 species